UUCCAAGUUAUCCAAGAACACUAUUCACUCCAGGCAGCUCGAAAUCUGAUAUCUUUCGCCAGAACUCCCUGAACAUCCGUUUUAGCUCAAAUUUGACAAUCAUGUUCGGUUUUACUUAACGAGUCUAAAGAAAUUUUAAUAUUUCAGUUUCGACCCCGUUUGGUCACCGAAAACUGUGCCGAAUUGCAAUCUUUAUCAGAUAGCUUUCGGAUUUUAUUUCUCGCUCUACGGGUGUCAGAAAAAUAUGAAACCUUAAAUCUAGCUUCAUAAAAAUAUUCCUGACUUAUUCUCCAAUUUUCAUAAUUUUCUGAGACUGUGCAUUUUCUGCUAAUUUUUCUCUCCCGUUUCCAACAGAAAAUUCUAGAUCUUCUGUUUUAAUUCCGAUUUCAGCACAGGUCAUUCCCAACUUAUAUUUCACUUCUCUAAAUUCAAUAAAAAUAGUAGCUCAUACUAUUUUUUAUUUAUUUCUAUUUUUUAUAUUUAAAUCCGGUAUAUUACAUUACACCGCAACCUUACCGGAACCAUUCAAAUGGCUCUCCAACCAAAUGGACACCGUAGCUUCAUAAUUUUAGAAGUCCGGUACCUUACA
rnacentral:lncRNA from 1 species